GACGAACGCUGGCGGCGUGCUUAACACAUGCAAGUCGAACGGUGAAGCGCCUUCCUUUUUGGUGGGUGUGGAUGAGUGGCGAACGGGUGAGUAACACGUGAGUAACCUGCCCCCUUCUUCUGGAUAACCGCAUGAAAGUGUGGCUAAUACGGGAUAUUCUGGGUCUGUCGCAUGAUGGGUCUGGGAAAGAUAUUGUUUCGGUGGGGGAUGGGCUCGCGGCCUAUCAGCUUGUUGGUGGGGUGAUGGCCUACCAAGGCGGUGACGGGUAGCCGGCCUGAGAGGGUGGACGGUCACACUGGGACAGAGACACGGCCCAGACUCCUACGGGAGGCAGCAGUGGGGAAUAUUGCACAAUGGGCGCAAGCCUGAUGCAGCGACGCCGCGUGAGGGAUGGAGGCCUUCGGGUUGUGAACCUCUUUCGCCAGUGAAGCAGGCCUGCCUCGUUUGUGGGUGGGUUGACGGUAGCUGGAUAAGAAGCGCCGGCUAACUACGUG
rnacentral:rRNA from 1 species